rnacentral:tRNA from 1 species
GACUGGUUAGCUCAGUGGUUUGAGCACGGUGCUGACAACAAUGACCGACACCGAGGUCGUGGGUUCGACUCCUGCUCGGUCG